ACCCCUCAGGUAGCCUGAUAGGGUGUAGUCUAAUGUCUGAGGCAGUAUCCCCUUGAGGUGGGAACUCCAUACUUGAUAAUUCAUUUUCCCCAUAAUCUCAACAUCUUUUGAUUUGAAGAAUAUGGGCUUGAGGUGAGAAUACUGGCAAUAUUUGUUCCUUUUCUACCCUCCCAAGUAAACUUUCCCUUCCUGGUUCUCUCUGGUUCCACUAUAAGGAGUGUUGAAUUUGAGGCCUGGGAGUCAUGCAAAACCUGUGAUCAACUCGUAUGGUGUUUAGAACAGGGUGUUAGGAAGAAAGGGCCCUAAAGGCAGCUCUAUGCUGAAGGUACUGAGCGUCAGGUCCCACUUUCAUGGCACUUACGAGGCCCUAAAAGCUAAAAUUCGCAAUGUUACGCUUAUUAAUCACACCUCGUUUAGUUUCUCUUCACUACAAUUAACCUUUUGUGCUCGGGAUGCUAGUAAGCAUUUUAUAACCUGAAUUACCUUCCUAAGAGUACAACUGCUUUUAAGUGAAAACUGUAGGUGGCUCUGAAAAGAGCCGUUUUCAGCUCAGAAUGGCUUUAGGCCCUCUCCCCGCGGAUGCGGCGGGCGAGUUGGAUGUCCUUGGGCAUGAUGGUGACGCGCUUGGCGUGGAUGGCGCACAGAUUGGUGUCCUCGAAGAGCCCCACCAAAUAGGCUUCACACGCCUCCUGCAACGCCAUUACCGCCGAACUCUGGAAGCGCAGGUCUGUCUUGAAGUCCUGCGCGAUCUCGCGCACCAGCCGCUGGAAUGGCAGCUUGCGAAUAAGCAGCUCAGUCGACUUCUGGUAACGACGAAUCUCCCGCAGAGCCACGGUGCCGGGCCGGUAGCGGUGCGGUUUCUUCACACCGCCCGUCGCGGGUGCGCUCUUGCGAGCCGCCUUCGUAGCCAGCUGUUUGCGCGGCGCCUUGCCGCCGGUAGACUUGCGAGCGGUCUGCUUCGUACGAGCCAUCUGCAAAGGACAAAUGGACAGUAGAAUACAGUGAAGAGGCAGUGAUCAAGUUGCGUUUAAAUAUAGUCAAAACCAAUCUGAUUGGCUUUGGGAAAUUUCAAAAGACCCGCGCGAUAAACCCAUUGGUGGCUGAGCGACUGGAAUGAUUGGCUAUUUACUAGAUAAAGUACUUCCCCGUCUUUUAUCCUUUUGUUUACAUUCUCAGAGAUCUAAGAGAAUUAAUUUUAUAAAGUUCUAGUUCAGCCUGUCUCCAAGUACAAUGCACAUAAGGAAUCAUCGAGAGAUCUGCUUUAAAAUGUUUAUUCAGUAAGUCGCAGUGGGACCUAAUAUUCUGCAUUGUUAACACUCUCCGGGUCCUUACUUUCCAGAGUACAGUUUCAUUGUCUUGCUUUCUUUUUCCUCAGUCGGUUAGAUUUUCUGAAGGAAAUCUCAAAUUGCCUGAACUGUCACUCUCUCCCCCUUUAGUAAUUGCGGUUGCACUUGUCCCCUGGGUGCUUUUUCCUGUGAAAUCUUAUACCUACAUGGAAAAGUCCCGAGUUGGUGACAGGUCAAAGGCCUGGACAGGGGUUUUACACCGGACCGGACUACUGUUCGUGUGCUUCUUACGUUAGACAAAAUGGGUUUUACUUUAGCUCGGAAAUUGAAAAGCCAGCAGCACUUUACUGUUGGCUAACGGCUGUAUUCUUUAGUUUUUCUCGUGUGAGUGACAUCACCGAACAAGGAGUAUUCUCCUUGACCGGACAAAAUGUUAUUCUGCGAGUUCAGAAAAAAAUUCUCACCGGGGGCGUAAUGAACUGAAAUGUAUACUUAUGGGCAGUCUAGGAUAGUUUUACAAACGAUUUAAGAAUUCUAAGAAAGAAACAUUGGUAACUAGUUACCAGUCUUUCCUGUGAAUAUGUGGUUGGCUUUGUAAAGAGCCUUUGGAAAGAUAAGAUCUUGUGAAAAUGAAGUUUCUUCUCAGGCUUUUACUUGCCCUUAGCCUUAUGAUGGCUCUCGGUCUUCUUAGGCAGCAGCACGGCCUGAAUGUUGGGCAGCACGCCGCCCUGUGCAAUGGUGACCUUGCCCAGCAGCUUGUUGAGCUCCUCAUCGUUGCGGAUGGCCAGCUGCUGAUGAAGCGGAAUGAUGCGUGUCUUCUUGUUGUCGCGGGCCGCAUUACCUGCCAGCUCCAGUAUCUCGGCUGUAAGGUACUCUAGGACCGCCGCCAUACACCGGGGCGCCAACCCCUACUCGCUCCGCACAGUUACCUUUACGAAGCAAACGAUGUACUCGGCCCACCGGAAACUGAAGACCAGCUCUAGAUGAACGAGUCUUAGCCUUAGCUCGCACUUUACCUCCCUGUUUACCACGCCCCGACAUUCUGUGCUUACAAAAUAUAACCAAAAAAAAGCUAUGUGCUAAACAAUAGUUGAACUUGUUACUGAAAAAAGCUUUUUAUAUACAAUGAUGGGCUUGUGAUUUUAAGCUAUUCUAUUGGCCCAAAUAGUUUUGUAUUAUUUGUCCAAUAGGAAAAGAAACGGUGAAUCCUUCAUUUGCAUAAAUUCUUCUCCUUAGGAAGAAAUGCUGCUUUUAAUCCAAUCAGAAGUAAGAGAUCUUGAGGCCUCAUUUGAAUAAACUCACUAUAAAUAAUUGGCCUCCUGGAGGUUCACUGUUUCUGGUUUUGAAGAAUUCAACUUUCUUAUCUAGCUUUUGAAAAAUAAAUAUGCCCGAGCCGUCUAAGUCUGCUCCAGCUCCUAAAAAGGGCUCCAAAAAAGCCAUAACUAAAGCGCAGAAAAAAGAUGGGAAGAAACGUAAACGCAGCCGCAAGGAGAGCUAUUCUAUCUACGUGUACAAGGUACUGAAGCAGGUCCACCCCGAUACUGGUAUCUCAUCCAAGGCUAUGGGCAUCAUGAAUUCUUUCGUCAAUGACAUCUUCGAGCGCAUCGCGGGCGAGGCGUCGCGCCUGGCGCAUUACAACAAGCGCUCCACCAUCACAUCCAGGGAGAUUCAGACGGCUGUUCGCCUGCUGCUGCCCGGGGAGCUGGCCAAGCACGCCGUGUCCGAGGGCACCAAGGCCGUCACGAAGUAUACCAGCUCCAAAUUAUAACAAUGUCGCCAGCCCCUCUCCCCUCCUCAAUUACAAGCGGACUCAGGCUGAAUAUAAGAAUCACUGUACUUUAGGUUCUUACUCUGAAGAGGCGAUACUUGGGUAGUGAUAUUUAACAACUUCAAAAUAUCUUGAGAAAUGGAAAGCUUGGCUCUGUUCCCUAUCCAGGAAAAAAGACCUGAUGACAAGAAGAGCUGACUCCUCAAGGGAGGGAGAAGAGGAGUUGCCCUUGGCUGAGCUGUAAGUGCCUGCAAACUGGUGGAGGGGGUUCGGGAGAAAAUUUUUAGUUUGAGGGAGGUUGACUAAGAAUUAGAAAAAGAGAAGAAAGGCUUACAAAGAGACAGAUGGCAGGAGGUCUAGAGAUUGUUAAUGAUUAGGGAAAAAAGGGGUAAAUGUUGGGAGGUGUGCCAGUUUGGAUAUAGUAUGUCCUCCCAAAAGCCAUGUUCUUUAAUGCAAUCUUUUUGAGUAGAGUACUACCUCUUGCCUGAAUGUUUCCAUGGAGAUUUGACCCCACCCAUUCAGGGUUGGGCUUGAUUAGUUCACUGGAGUAUUUAAGAAAACAGAGAGACACAGAUGCUUGCUGACACUUUGAGAUGUUGGCCCAGAGUUUGUUCCUAAGAAGCUAAGAGAGGAUAAAAUGCCCCAAGAGCAGCUGAGAGAGACUUUUGGAGAGACACUUGGGAGCUGACAUUUGGAGAUGCUUGGAGAUGUGUGAAAAUGCUAGCCCAGGGCUUGCUCCAGAGAAACUAAGAGAGGACCCCCAGAUGGUUCGAUGUACAGGAGCUGAAGAGGCUAAGAGAGAUGAGCCCAGAGACAUUUUGGAGAAUGCCAUUUUGAAAUACAACCUGAGAUCAAA